AAAUUAGAUUCAUUGCUCUAAAAAAAAUUGGUUUGUUUACAUUUUUUCCCUUUGUAGUGUCUAAAUCAGCUGUGAUAAUGUAACAGAUUUCCAAUGCUGACAAGUAGAUGGCGCAAAAUCAGAGUCGCACAGAGAGAUUUAGCGUGGAUCAGUUUCAAACCACUUCAAUGAAGUGAUUUGGAAAUGUCAUUUUUGUAUGGCGAAAUCUUGAUAAAUUUUAAAGAUUAGUGGGAUAAUCCAUUCAACAGCCGAAAUCGUGUGAUUAAGUGUCGGUCUGAACAUGGUAUUAUAUACUAUCAUUCUUGGUUCAGUCGAAGUUUAAUUGGCGUUGCCAACCUAAGAAAGGGAAAUUUGACAGAUAGUGAAACUGCUAAAAUUUUGUAAACGACAUACAUAUUUAAACAAUGAUUGGUUGAUCUGAAGUUGAAUUGCCUUAUAGCGGGAUUCUGUAACCAGUCUCUAGUCUCUAUUUGAGACAUUUUGAGGCAAAGUCUCAAUUUGAGACUAGUUACUAUUCACUAAACAGUCUCUAGCGUUAGUCUCAAAAUAUUGAGACCUGGUAGUUAGCCGGUCACAAAACUACAAAGAGCUCUUGUCUGCCAUUUUGAAUAUACUGAAUAGAGAUCAUCAUAGAUAUUAAUCGAUUGUCAUAUUUUUAUAUUUUGUAAGCACCUCAAACACGAAAAAGUUAAAAAUAAAUAAAUUUUACAUAAAUUUCGUAAAUAUUAUGAAACAAAGUCAACAUAUAUUUUCAUUUUUAUUGAAAACUAUGUUUUUUGACGAUGUUAUAGAAAAUUUAAUAUUUGUUAUCGACAUAUUUAUUUCCAUUCAAGUGUAAAAACAUCUCUGAAUGAUGAAAUGUAAUAGAUUUUGUGACUGUCACUUACAGAAUAGCAAAAUCGGCUCAAGUCUCAAAAAUUGUCUCUAACUCAAAAUCUCAAAUUUAGAGACUUGAGACUGUCUCACGUUACAGAAUCGCACGGUUAACUUCAAUUCGACUAAGUCGGGUUGAAAACCGCAAUAGGGGCAUUAAUUUCACAAUCAACACUGGACUUUGGGCCCGUUACGUAAUUACAAUUUUCUCUCCAUCGUUAUGGUUGUAGAAUUCUGAGGAACAUUUUAUUUCAAAUUCGAAACGUGUAACAAAGCAAAACAAAAAUAAAAAUGACAAAUGAUGGUGGAUAAACAUUUAUAUUCAAUUUCAAAAACAAUUUAUUAAAUCAGCAAACAAAAAGCAAACUUUUACGGACAAUUUGUCACAACAAUAUACUCGUACACCGGCAAAAAAGGAUGCACCAGAGUUCACAUGUCUGCCCAAGUGGCGUAGCUAGGUAAUCAAGGGCCCUGGGGCAAAUUAAAAACAAAACAAUAUAACAAAAAAAAAACGACUAUGUAAACUGAUUAGGUUUUAUCAAAUAAAAGAAUGAAAUAUUUAAGUAUUUCAAAAAUGUUAAGCUAGUUAAGCUUUUUUUGUGCACUGCAGGGUAAGUACAUAUCUGUGGACAUUUGACAAAACAACCUCUUUCAAAAAAGCAAAUUUUACAGGAGAGCGAAAAAACAUGUUUAAAGCUUUGCAGUAGAAAUACCUCUUACUAUUAAAGGACGAAGUCAAUUUAAACUGGAUGCAGAUCAAUAAAGACGCGUUUUCCAAUCAAUUGAUUUAAAUUAAAUAUUUUACUUUUCUAGAUAAAUAUAAAUCAAAUAAAUAAGACUUAUUGUCAAAUGCUUUUUCUUACUGAAAAUCAACUUACCUCUUACAAGCUGUUUUGUCAAAUUUGAUUUGUGCAAAAAAAAUCCUUUUUUUUAUGUUAUCUUGACUUGAAAAGCAUUUUUUUUUAGAUAUGCAUUUGACAAAAGAACUUCAAUCGAAAGAAGUUAUUUUGUCAAACGCCAAUUUCUGAUUUUACUCAGACGAUAUAUAGAGGCAAGCUUUUUUGAUAAAUGUACGUUAUGAUUUUACGUUUGAAAUUCCAACUUAUUCGAGACAAGCUCUUUUGUCACCCCGAAAAUUUGAAAAAUUACGAAAGAAGUUGUUUUGAUGACUACAUAAUUUUUGAACUAACGGUCCUAGGACAAUGGCGAUAAGACAGAAAAACGCGCCUUGAAAAUUCAUACAUAUGAUAAAAAUCCUGGAAAAUUGUCUUAUUUCGAGAGAAGUUGUUUUGUCAAAUG